rnacentral:tRNA from 1 species
GGCAUAUUGCCAGAACUUAGCGUACUAAACAAAUUGCAUGGUGAAAGUCAGGCUCAUACCCUGAAGGUCCUUGGUUCGAAUCCAAGUCCCGCGA